AGUGAACCAGCCGCAGGCUCCACUCCAAGCUCAAGUCCAGCAUGAAAGCGCUCUCAUCCUCUGAUCUUGCAUUGAAACACUGCCUGGGAAACAGUCCAGAAUAUCAACCACUGCGUUGGGACUAACAUUUCUUUCUGCAGGGGCUUUCCUGUCUUCGGCCCGAAGCUACACAGUUACAACUGGAAUCUAAGCUUGGAACAAAC